rnacentral:rRNA from 1 species
AAGUCAUAACAAGGUUUCCGUAGGUGAACCUGCGGAAGGAUCAUUAAUAGUGCCCUUUGAUGCAAAUCAUUGGGUUAGAUCUGCUCUCUUCGCAAGAAGAGGGUUUCCAUACACACCGUGAACUGUGGCUUCGGCCAUCACAAACUGUUAGUAAUGAAUGUAAUAUCAUAACAAAAACAAAACUUUUAACAACGGAUCUCUUGGCUCUCGCAUCGAUGAAGAACGCAGCGAAAUGCGAUAAGUAAUGUGAAUUGCAGAAUUCAGUGAAUCAUCGAAUCUUUGAACGCACCUUGCGCCCUUUGGUAUUCCGAAGGGCAUGCCUGUUUGAGUGUCAUGAAACCUCACCCCACUUGGGUUUUUGCCUGAGCGGUGGUGUAUUGGGUGUUGCCUUGCUAAAGGCUCGCCUUAAAGACAUAAGCACCUUGGAUGUAAUACGUUUCAUCCUUCUGGGUGGCUGAUAACCCCACAUAUUCAUGAUCUGGCCUCAAAUCAGGUAGGGCUACCCGCUGAACUUAA